ACAUGGACUCCAGAUUUCUAUGAUCUGUUUGUAUUUGAAUUAAGAAAAAAGUAAUAUAAUAAAAAUUGUUAUAUGUCUUGAUAAAAGUUUAUAGAAAUAUGGACAACAAUGCAGGCACAUCACCACCACCACCACCACCACCACCACCACCACACACAUGGAUGGCUAAUACAACCCUUCUAACCAUUGAACUACCGGUUGAGUUCAGUAACAUUUUUUUAGUUGUCAAUAACAUAUUAUUGUGUUUGAUGGUCUGGUUAUCAAUUAAAAAGAUGUGUGUUAGCUGAUACGUGCAUAGUUCUUGGUUAUUUUAACUCUGUGAGAAGCAUCUUGAUUUUUUUAAAGCCCGUAGCAACGCAUGGGCGUUCUACUAGUCGGUCUAGUAAUUAGUACUCACGCUAAUUAAGCAAGCUUGCAUGCCUCAGCUGCAUGCACAUUGUAGCGCUAGUCAAGUGCAUAUGGCAGUGGGGAAAAAAUCGACUGACCCAAACAUAAAUUUUCAAUCGACUGAAAAGUAGCUAAAGUGUACGUGGACAAAUUAAGCAUAGGCCCAUGCAUGCAUGACCCAUGAAGUGUUAACUACUGUAGUGUUGGUCAUGCGUUGCCGAUUUGAGUUUGACCUCUCGUAAUAAACCCUUGGUUAACAAAUCCUAACACGGCCGGCCGGGACGGAAGAGCAGUUUUGACCCAUCGGGAUUUCACCGUCGGCGAUGAACCGGCGAUUUCUCUACUCGGUGCUCGACAGCUUCGCACCUGCGCGCAGGCACACGUACACGCGUCACUUCUGGCCCGAUGGCUCACCAGACCGCGCGGCGCCGGCGGCGGUGGAGAAGGCUCGCCUGCCUCCCACCACCAUGACCUUCCACACCCCCAACACCAACAUGGACUUCAUGCUGCUCAGCGCCAGCAAGGGCACGAUCGUCGGCGCCGCGGAAACCAGCUUCGCCAUUAGCCGCGGCUGCAGGGCCCGCACGAGCGGCGCCGGGGCCAUCCUCUACGACGACAUCUCAAUAAAUUCACACAUCAGCAGCUCUAUUAAAUAAGAAUUUUUUACCUGCGUUUUGGAAUGAGAGAAGUCCACAUAAGUUCCCAGCCAUCGUGCCGAGGCUAUGUUGUCAUUCUAAGCCUUCAAGCCGUGCCGCAAAACUUCUGUGUAAGUAUGGAGUUUGAUGGUUAUCAUGCUGUGGUCUCAUAUUUCCUGCAUUUCUCCGACCUGGUGGUCAUCAUGGUCAUGGUCUGCGACUUUGUUAUGUGGGCUGCUGCUGCCGUGUUGAUGUUGAGCAUCGGAUACAACUCCAAAACCCAUGGACUUUGCAAUGCAAUGAGUUAUUCAGCCGGAGCAGUAUGCCAAAGAUGCCUAUCUUUUUGGACUUGCUGUUUAGUUGGUAUUUUGCUUUGAGACGCCAACGCACUGAACCGAAGGAUCUCGAUGGUGCCGAGUGUAGUCGAGGACCCGAAGUUGCAGUUCUAAGCAUGGUAACCCUGGUAGUUUACCAAGAUGUACAUUCUUGCCACCAUACAGAUUCUUGCACUAGUAAAUAGUACAUUUGCUCGCUGAGAAAAAUUUCUGUACAUUAUUUCUUCUUCUUCUUCUUCUUCAUGAAUGCAAUUUUGGAAUGAACAAGACAACUUCAUUCUUUGUUGAAUAUUAUUGUACUGCCAUUAUGCAUGCAAUUCUUCCCAACGUGUUAUGCUGCCGAAAUUUCUAGUGAAUAUUCCCCCGACUUGUCAAAAUCUGGGCCCUUUUUUGUCAACAUUUUAAACCAUGGGUUGGUUUGCCGCAAUAACUAGACCCUUUUUUGUAAAGAUCUCAAACUAGAUGGGCAGUUCUAUGAGAGCUCGUUUUGUGGGAGCUCUGAAAAUACCGUAAUUAGGGGGAGGGGGGCAGUUGCAAGUCAA